GAAGAUACGCGAUUUUUAGUUUUCACUUAAGUGAAUAGCAACUCCGAUUUUUCGGAGAAGCCACGGAGUAGAGUUGGCUUCUGGUGCGUAUUGGACUCCGUUCAUAGCAGUCCAAUAGCUCGUUUCAACCGGUUCAGCUAUUCUGGAACUACUGGCGUUGAUGGAUUUUGGUUUUGAUGCACGGAUUUCGAGAAAAUCUGAUAAUACGUGUUUUAUAUGUAAUUGUGCGUGAUAUUUGGCCUUUUGGAGAGAGAGUGGAUUUCGUCGCGAAUCCGUGGUCAAUCGAGGUGAACCAAAAUUGUAGCUUUGUUAUCUCCGAGGUGCUGAUCGCACUGGUGCGAUCCGUUCGCAAAUCCGACGGACGGAUCUGCGGAGAUCGCACGUUGAUCGAGGAGAGGUCGGUGAGGGCAAAAUGAUAUUUUCGCGAAAGUCGCGAUAUUUUAUGUACCGUUUCAGGUGGGAUCGCACGUGGAGGGGUGUU
rnacentral:lncRNA from 1 species